ACAAAGUGAUGCUCUGUAAAAGGGGUAGGAUCCGACGCCUCGGCGAAGGCUAACAUAGGCUCUCCUACCCAACUCCUAUUCCGGUACGUCCAUGUCGUGCAGAGCGGAAACAUGCGUUACAACGGGGUGCAAGAGUCGGAUGGCUGCACGAUGUCGCGGACUUCACUCUUUCUGUUGCACUUGCAGCAGAUGGUAACGCAUGGCCAAGCCGGAAAGG
rnacentral:ribozyme from 1 species